GGUGGCUCAGUGGUAGAGUACUUGCUUUGCAUGCAUGAGGUCCUGGGUUCCAUUCCUCAGCACCA
rnacentral:tRNA from 1 species